ensembl:lncRNA
AUGUUAAAUCAAAUAUCACUGACACAUUAACAUAUUAACAUACUGAAUGGAGUCCUCUAAUUGAAUCAGAGGUUCUAAUGAGGGAAAUGAUCUUCUCCUUGUAGCAACGCUCUCUAGACAGUUUACAGGCGUUUCCAUGGCGACAGAGUGAGUCAAUUGUUGCCGGUGAAGCGUCUUAAAGACCAGGGGUCCGUUUAAGUGAAAACAGGGUAAACCGACUCAGACAUUAGGGUUUGACUCGGAGUUUGUUAAACCUCCUACUUGAAAUGGACCCCUGCUGAGAGGCGCGCGUGUGUGUGUGUGUGUGUGUGUGUUUGUGUACUGUGGGGACUGAUACAUAUUAGUCUAUAAAGGGUUUGUUUUGAUCUGAGUCCAUGCUGAACACACACAUACACUCAAUACACACACACACACACACACCUCUACAUUACACACAAACAAUGUGUAAUGUUUGUCUCAUCAAAGAGACCUUGAGUAUGAAAUAAAUGUAGUGAGUCUGAGAGGAAGCGUAAGCGAGCAGGCCAACAGGUCAUCCCCCCCUUCACCCCCUCAGGUAAACACCGUCAGGUAAACACCGUCAGGUAAACACCGUCAGGCCAGAAGGAAUAUGUACAGUACAUGUGCACAGCAUAUGUAUGUCUAUGUGUUUGUGUGUUUCAUCAGAUCAAAACACAAACCCCUAAUAUCCAUCAGCCCCACAGUACACACACACACACACACACACACACACACACACACACACACACACACACACACACACAAACUGCGUCCUCCCUCUCCAACUGUUUCCUUUCUGUCCUUUCGUCUCCUCUGCGUCUCAUUGGUCCGAUCGGUCUCGCUGGCAGCCAAUCAGCUCUCAGCGUGGGGAUGGUGCGCUUCAUCCCGGGAGGGGUCCACUGCCGGGAAGAGACGGGAGGAGACGAGCAUCACCUCCUCCUUCCCCUCCGCUCGAUGUUUCCCGGAAGUGUGUGUGUGUGUGCAUGUGUGUGUGCGUGCGUGUGUGUGUGUGUGUGCGCGCGCGUGUGUGUGUGUGUGUGUGCGUGUGUGUGUGAGUGUUUUGUGUGUUUUUCUAUUGGAAGUGUCCGUGCACUGAUCCUCUCUCUGCAGACCUUUGACCCCCCUGAUGUAUUUAACUGUGAUUUACUUGAAGAAGGUGAGACAGGUGAGACAGGCGAGGGAGAAGCCGACCAAUCAGAGGAGGUUUUGUUCGACACGAGGCCCUGGAGGAGGUUGGGGAAGUCGGUCAAACACACCUUUACCUUUGCUGGUUGUUUAAUCGAUUGAUUCACAAAACAGGUCAAUAUGUGUUCACAUGUUUCUAUUAUAGUACGUAGAUCUAUAGAACUAGAGGCUGGCUGAGGCGCUGCAGUGCACCAGCAGGUGGCGCUGUAACCUCCCAGGUCAACUGGUUGUUAUGAAGACGAGCAGACAUGAGUCACAGACAGACAGAGGGACGGACAGCUCCGUCUCCUGACUCAUCUCUCGUCUCAGACACUUUCUCCUCACUCGGGUCUUUUUUCUGCUGAGUUCAGAGUGACUCGUCACAACACGACUGAGGACUUUUUCCUGCCUCGCGACCUUCACGCGCUUUUGUUUAACGGUUUUCAUUUGGAUCUUUUUUCCGUUGACUCCAAACUUUUUACGACGAUCACUUUUUAAUUUUAUCGUUUACUUCAGACUGAAACUAAAACGACAUCAACCACCACUACUGCUAAAAACAUGUGAUCUCUGUUUGUUUUUUAUUUAAGCCAAAAAUACUUUCGCAGAAGUCAUUUUAUUUCAGUGACUUUUAUGGUUGUAGAGGUCACAUGUGUUAUAACGCAGUUAUCAUCCUCCUGCUGUUUUUAAUCUGCAUAACUACAACCACUACGACCUCAGCGCUGUGAGGUAACGCGGCCUCUCCUCGCGUCGUCCGUCUCUCGUCUCUCGUCUUACUGGGAUCGUUCUGUUAUCAACUUUCAGCGCGUUUUCUGCACUUUUUGCAUUUCGUGGCGUCUCCCGUUUCCCCCUCGUUCCUCCGCCUCAGCACCUUCUCCUUUCACCAUCUGUGCUUUGUGCCCCGACAGCAGAGACGCAGGAGACGCUCUGUUUGUCCGUCCAGCACUCUGUCCCACGUCUCGCGGAGGGAAAGGAGUGCACUUGUACAAUAGAGUGUUAGAAAGAUAUGAACAGGUGCAAAGAGAAUAUAAAAUGUGCAAGAAAGAUACUUAAAUGCACUAAAAAAAAAAGGGAAGUUGGACAAAAGAUAUUAAAAUGUGCUAACGCGCCCUUGUCCCCAGAGGUUGAACUGUGUUGUCUCCCUGUUUCCGUCAGCCACGUCCCUCUCAGCUGAGAGAAGAGGAAGUGGCGGCCUGAAGGAGGUCACGCUGUUCCUGGCGGAGGAGCUGUCAUCUCGCCACAUUCCUGAGGGAGGGGGGAAGAGAAAGUGAGAGUCUUCUGAUCACACAGACGGGUUCCUGGUCUCCGAUCUGAUCCCAGGCCAGUGGUUCCGUGCUCACCGGGCCGUUUGACAAGGGUUUUUGACGAGGGACACAUCCACAUGAGGACAAAAGUCCUGAUGCACAUGGGGACAAAAGUCCUGAUGCACAUGUAAAAAGUACAACACUGGUGUAACAGGUUGUCUUCGUCCUCUUCUUAUUUUCUGUUUUGAUAAAACAGCAGUCAUGGCCAUCACAUGACAUCCAUACUCACACACUCACACACACACACACACACACACACACUCACACUCAAACACAUGGUGAUGGCAUGCUUAGUCAUCAGCAUUAGAUACCACAUGGCAGCCUGGCGGGCGAUGAUGAUGAUCUCCAUCAGGUUCAGGCCUCUCGGGAGGCUGCAGGGCUCCUUCACCUGCUGCCAGGGGUCCGUUUCAAGAAGCGGGUUUAGUGGAAACUCAGAGUUUGUGAACCCUGAGAUGAUGGAAACUCUGGCUUGUCUGUUUCACAAAGGGAGGUGAAUAAAGCUCAGGCUCUGUCUCCAUGGUAACUAAAGCUCAGGCUCAGUCUCCAUGGUAACUAAAGCUCAGGCUCAGUCUCCAUGGUAACUGAAGCUCAGGCUCAGUCUUCAUGGUAACUGAAGCUCAGGCUCAGUCUCCAUGGUAACUGAAGCUCAGGCUCAGUCUUCAUGGUAACUGAAGCUCAGGCUCAGUCUCCAUGGUAACUGAAGCUCAGGCUCAGUCUUCAUGGUAACUGAAGCUCAGGCUCAGUCUCCAUGGUGACUAAAGCUCAGGCUCAGUCUCCAUGGUAACUAAAGCUCAGGCUCAGUCUCCAUGGUAACUGAAGCUCAGGCUCAGUCUCCAUGGUAACUGAAGCUCAGGCUCAGUCUCCAUGGUAACUGAGCCUGUGAACAUCAUCUGGUCGGGAGCAGGUUUUAGUUAGUCUGUAUCCGGCGGAUUUUAGUGCAGUUUCCACAUAUGGACAAGAUAAGGUUACGUUAAAGUCUAGUGUUUAGUGUUUUCUGGGACAUGUCACGUCCUUUUCUGGACGAUCCUGUUGAUGAAGAAGCGGUUUUACUUCGCAGGAGAGAAUAUUGAGGCCCUGAUUAGAUGUAUUGUCAUUUCCAGAUAACUGCUUGUUUGAACGGUAUCGUUUUUCUUCACAGGCCAUCAAAUAUGUACAUGACCUCACCCGUCCUCAUAUGAGUAACGUCCCCCAUCGUGGACAUGCUCUCACAUACGGGCACAUUCUUCGUGUAGUAUUACGUUUUUUUCCUUUACAACAUUCUAAUAUCAGUAAAGCUGCUGCAUGCAGAGCCGUGAGGAACGUGUGCGUCGCUCUGAAACGUCUUUUAAACCUUUUUGUUCCCUGGACACAAACCAAAUUAAAGUUCCACAGGAUGCACCUGAAUAAAACACAUUAUAGGUCCAAUACCAGUGAACCAGUUUUUACCAGCAAUAUUAUUCUAAAUAUGAGGGGGAAUCAGUAAAACGUAUGGAUUAGGAUUCAUGUGUACAAUAACUAUUAACUAACAACACUGUGUUGGAACAUACACAGUUUUUUUUCAUUCUAAUUACGGGUUCAUACUCGCCUUACUUGCUUGCAUUAAUAUUCUCAGCUCAAUAGGGGUGAAUAUAUCGUGGUGGUUGCCGUGGUGAUUCGCAGUAUCGUGGCUCCAUUCAUGCUGCCUUCACACUGUGGUGCUGCACGCGCUCAACUCAGCGUCGGCCUACUCCGACCGGACCACCUGUAAACCCAACUCUUCUGACUCUGACCCUGGUGAGCACGCGAGUCGCCGUUGAUCAACACAACGACUAGACAACAACAACAAAUAAUAAUGCAUCCCACCCUGCGAUGUCACGUGCGGCUCACCUGCGCCUCCGGUGCGACGGGCGCCGUGUGCCUGACGUGGGUCGCGACCUCGCGGGUCGCCGUGUGCCAGGCAGGCCGAGUGCACGGGUGUGGGGAAUGGUAUGUUCUCGGGGGUUAAUUACACGCGUGUGAUUCUGCAGAGCCGCCAGAGGAGCGUCGGGGACGUGAGGUGAGGAAUGUCCGCAGAGGAACCGGAGGAGCCGGUUUCCUUCUAACCUCCUCCUGGCGGAACGUGGUCUGGGUCACAGUGAAGACCGGCAGACUAUUUAUGUGGAGCAAUGAGCCGUGAAUGAAAUAUGGAACAAGCAGAAAGUAGAACGAUGUCAGCGAAACCUGCUGCACGCUCUGUAAUACGCCGUAAUACACACUCACCACACAAUGAUUUGCUAAAGACAACAAAGUUUAAUUUCAUCACGAGAGGGAGGAAAUACUUUGAUUAUUUAUUUCAGUGAUUGAAGUAUUGAAACCAGCCAAUAAAAGUCGUAAAGUGGAGUUACUUCGUCGAAAGUUACUUCAGUAAAAGUUACUUGAACGUAAAAGUGUCAAACUGUAUCAAAGGUACUUCUAAAAAAACCUCUUAUAAUAUUUGAUACAUUAAUGUGUUCAUCACCUUAAUAUUGAAUUUGAAUGACAGAUCAUACCUUCACAUGUAUGUCAGCGUGUCCUCGCUCUCUGUGGGCGUGUCCUCGCUCUCUGUGGGCGUGUCCUCAUACAGCGACGUCCGUCAUUACAGUUAAUGACGUUUAAUCGUCUCACCGUUCCACACAAAACAUACCGAUCUAUUCCGGGGACGAGGAGGAAGCUGAAGAGAGACACACUUGGCUGCUGCACAGAGACACGCGUCUGGCAUGUGGACGAUGUAGUGCAACAGGGACGGGGGACACCGUGUAUUAUAGGUCAGGACGCUUCGCCACAGGAGCCGAGAGCUGAGAGCCAUGAGAGACAUAAGAUCUAAGAGGGACAUGAGAGACAUGAGAAAGACAUGAAAGGACAUGAAAGGACAUGAAACCAGCCGAUUAAAAGUCUUAAAUUCACCAAGUUACUUAAACAAAAAAGUGUCAAAUUUGAUCAAAAGUUCUUCUACUGCAGAACAAAACCUCUUAUAUAAUUGAUACAUUAACGUGUUCAUCACCUUAUUAUUGAAUUUGAAUGACAUCAUAUGAUCUUCACAUGUGGGUCAGCGUGUCCUCGUACAGUGACGUCUUCCCAACCAUCCGCACUGUUAAUGACUUUUAAUCGUCUCACCCUUCCACAGAAAACAAAAUGAUCUCUUCCGAGACGAGAAGGAAGACACGUGUCUGGUAUGUGGACGAUGUAGUGCAACGGGGACGGAGGACACCGUGUAUUAUAGGUCAGGACGCUUCACGGGAAACUGUCUCUGCCAGAGCGAUGCACCGCGUCACCUGACCUAAAAAAAGGAUUCGUCACCACGGAAUGUCCCGUCAAACAAAGACAUAUGAGAGACAUGAGGGGACAUGAGAGACCACGCACGCAUGCUGAUCCCAGGUCAGUCUGAACUGUCCGGGGGCCAAGACACUUUACCAAAAGCAGAAUCACACACAGACAUGGAUGCUGAAUCAGCAGAGGGCCGUCAAGGAGGAGGACUAAUGAUGACGAUGAUGGGAGGAGGAGGAGGAGGAGGAGGAGGAGGAGGAGGUCAGGGCUCCGCAGGAGGUCACAGCAGGAGUCAGACUGUGGGAACAGGACACACACACACACACACUUACGCACUCAGAGGUGUGAAGUCUGGUUUUGGGGUUUGGGUGCGUUCAGGUGCUGCUGGAGUUUGUAGCUGUUGGUUUUAACACUCUAGGUGU